GUAGUCUCGCACAGAUGCAUAUCAAUAAGCGGAGGAAAAGAAACUAACUAGGAUUCCCUCAGUAACGGCGAGUGAAGCGGGAAGAGCUCAAAUUUGAAAUCUUCAAGGUUCUACCUUGACGAAUUGUAGUUUAAAGAAGUGUUUUCUGUUGGAGUUUUGGUAAAAGUUCUUUGGAAUAGGACAUCAUAGAGGGUGAGAAUCCCGUAUUUGACCAUUAUUUCCAGCUUUGUGAUACACUUUCAAAGAGUCGGAUUGUUUGGGAAUGCAGUCCAAAAUGGGUGGUAAAUUUCAUCUAAAGCUAAAUACUGGCGAGAGACCGAUAGCGAACAAGUACCGUGAGGGAAAGAUGAAAAGAACUUUGAAAAGAGAGUUAAACAGUACGUGAAAUUGUCAAAAGGGAAGCGUUUGACACCAGUGUUGUUUUUCUCGAAAAUCAAUUAAAGAAGGCAUGAUUUAUGUAAGUUGUAUUAGACUUUAUCAGCUUCUGCACUCGUUUCUUGAGCUUUUCUUUAAUGCACUUUUCAGUUUAACAAGUCAACAUCAAUUUCUUUUGUUGUAAAAGGGUCAUUGGAAGGUGGCUUUCUUUUCGGAGAAAGUGUUUAUAGCCUUUGGCCUCUGCAAUCGGAGAGAUUGAGGUCUGCAGCGUAGAUCCUUCGGGGUUAGAUACAUUUGUGCUAAGUUAUAGCCUUUCAUAGACAACUUGUUGACUAUGAUCAGUCAUGUAGCUUACUCGCUUAUGCUAUUUUACCUACGCUUAGGAUGUUGAAGUCAUCGUAUCGCGC
rnacentral:rRNA from 1 species